rnacentral:rRNA from 1 species
CCAACAGGGAUUGCCUCAGUAACGGCGAGUGAAGCGGCAACAGCUCAAAUUUGAAAUCUGGCUCCUCCGGGGUCCGAGUUGUAAUUUGCAGAGGGCGUUUCGGGCGCGGCUCCGGUUUAAGUUCYUUGGAACAGGACGUCAUGGAGGGKGAGAGUCCCGUAUGUGACCGGCGGCCUACCSCGCGUGAAACCCCUUCGACGAGUCGAGUUGUUUGGGAAUGCAGCUCUAAGCGGGUGGUAAAUUUCAUCUAAAGGUAAAUACUGGCCAGAGACCGAUAGCGCACAAGUAGAGUGAUCGAAAGAWGAAAAGCACUUUGGAAAGAGAGUCAAACAGUACGUGAAAUUGUUGAAAGGGAAGCGCUUGCAACCAGACCUGCUUGCGGGCCCACAGCCGUCACUCGUGGCGGCGCACUGCCCCGCGCCCAGGCCAGCAUCGGUUCAGGCGGCCGGACAAAGGCCCCGGGAAUGUGGCUCCCCUCGGGGAGUGUUAUAGCCCGGGGCGUCAUGCGGCCCGCCGGGACCGAGGACCGCGCUUCGKCUAGGAUGC